AAAUAAUGGGGGGACAUCUGCUGCAAACCUAAUGGGAGGGACAUGUGGUGCUACCCACUGGAAAAGUGUGGAGCCUAAAAUGUUUUUUUCCCCGCCAUGUUCUACAGAAAUGAGUCGUAGCCGGAAGAAAUCAUCAUGGCGUCUGAAAGGAGAAAAAGGAAAGCGAACGACUGCGAUCAGAGAUGACGUCACCUUAUAUAACUAAUGAUUCCUCCCCCGUAAUGUGGAUUUCCAUAUGAAUUAUGUGUAAAUGAUGGCCGGCGGGGACGACUCGGGGUAUGAAGAAGAGAAUAUGAGGUCCAGAAAACAGAGAUUCCAAGACUCUCAGCUUCCUGUCUGACAUCAUUUUAUACUGUAGGAACACGGAGGGGAAAAAGUCAGUCAUCCCAGCCAGUCAGAUGCCAUCCUCCGCAUUGACAUGACACAGCCCGCAGUAUCUACCGGCAGCCAUAAGAAUCAAACUCCUUCACCGCCAACCCUGUUCUUCACAAGAGCACAAGCUGCAACUUCCUGGAGAAACGCGCAAAAUCGCUCUUUUAUGCUGUCAUUUUUUUCUUUAUUAAAGCAAAAUUUUGUGAGUUUUCAGGAAAAAACAGGAGGUGCACAGACGCACAGCAAUCCCCAUACCCCUCCCUGCAACCUGAAGAGAAAGAACAGCAGAAUGCAUAUAUCUUUCUAUAAGGAGUGGUGCUGCC